GAUGAACGCUGGCGGCGUGCCUAAUACAUGCAAGUAGAACGCUGAAGGAGGAGCUUGCUCUUCUGGAUGAGUUGCGAACGGGUGAGUAACGCGUAGGUAACCUGCCUGGUAGCGGGGGAUAACUAUUGGAAACGAUAGCUAAUACCGCAUGACAACAGUUAUUGCAUGAUAACUGUUUAAAAGGGGCAACUGCUCCACUACCAGAUGGACCUGCGUUGUAUUAGCUAGUUGGUGAGGUAACGGCUCACCAAGGCGACGAUACAUAGCCGACCUGAGAGGGUGAUCGGCCACACUGGGACUGAGACACGGCCCAGACUCCUACGGGAGGCAGCAGUAGGGAAUCUUCGGCAAUGGACGGAAGUCUGACCGAGCAACGCCGCGUGAGUGAAGAAGGUUUUCGGAUCGUAAAGCUCUGUUGUAAGAGAAGAACGAGUGUGAGAGUGGAAAGUUCACACUGUGACGGUAUCUUAUCAGAAAGGGACGGCUAACUACGUG
rnacentral:rRNA from 1 species